rnacentral:piRNA from 1 species
UGCAUCUGUGUCCCACGUCCUGCUCAGGAU